AUAAAAAUAACAUUACAAAACACUUUGUAUCAAAAACAAAACAGCGUUGGCACAGCCUGGCAUUUGAUAAUGAUGAGUUAAGUCCCAUGCAUGCUUCUCUGCAUACAGCAUCAUGGGGAAACGACCUCCACACAGGUGUGUUUUUAGGAACUAAAAAACCCUGAAAUGAUUGAUAGCAUGUACUGGGGUAAGGUAAAAUGGAACCAUCACAAUAAGAAGGGUCUGAUUCUUCUAGUAGCUUGAAGUUACAUUAUUUGUAUUAUUAAUUAUUGCACUCAUAUUUAAUUAACCCAUUCAGUCUCUUGAAAUAUUGCUCUCCAAUAACUCCUGCACUAACUCUUAUUCUAAAACAUAAUUUACAAAACUACAAAAAUUAGCAACUGAACAGAUGAUGUAUGCCAUCAAGCCUACUCAAUAGUAGAU